GAGAGAGAGGUUUGAUUGGACAGAUUGAACGCUGGCGGGAUACUUUACACAUGCCAAGUCGAACGGCGGCACGGACUUCGGUCUGGUGGCGAGUGGCGAACGGGUGGCUCGUAAUGUAUCGGAACGUGCCUGGCGAGAUAACUACGCGAAAGCGUAGCUAAUACCGCAUACGCCCUUCGGGGAAAGCGGGAUACCGGGCCUCGCACUAUUAGAGCGGCCGAUAUCGGAUUGGCUAGUUGGUGGGGUAACGGCUCACCAGGCGACGAUCCGUAGCUGGUUUGAGAGGACGACCAGCCACCACUGGGACUGAGGCACGGCCCAGCUCCUACGGGGAGGCAGCAGUGGGGAAUUUUUGGACAAUGGAAACCUGAUCCAGCCAUCCCGCGUGUGCGAUGACCUUCGGUUUGUAAGACACUUUUGGCAGGAAAGAAACGGCACGGGAUAAUACCCCGUACAACUGACGGUACCUGCAGAAUAAGCACCGGCUAACUACGUGCCAGCAGCCGCGGUAAUACGUAGGGUGCAAGCGUUAAUCGGAAUUACUGGGCGUAAAGCGUGCGCAGGAGUUCGGAAAGAAAGAUGUGAAAUCCCAGAGCUUAACUUUGGAACUGCAUUUUUAACUACCGAGCUAGAGAUGUGUCAGAGGGAGGUGGAAUUCUGUGUAGCAGUGAAAUGCGUAGAUAUGCGGAGGAACACCAAAUGGCGAAGGCAUUUCCUGGGAUAACACUGACGCUCAUGCACGAAAGCGUGGGGAGCAAACAGGAUUAGAUACCCUGGUAGUCCACGCCCUAAACGAUGUCAACUAGCAGCUGUUGGGGCCUUCGGGCCUUGGUAGCGCAACGCGUAGGGUUGACCGCCUGCAAGGUAGGUCGCAAGAUUAAAACUCAAAGGAAUUGGCGGGGACCCUCGCAAGCGGUGGAUAGUGGAUUGAAAUUCGAUGCAACAUGGCGUACUACUACACUUGACGUGUGGAAUCGAAGAUUUUGGGAGUGCUCGCAAGAGAACCGGGUUACAGGUGCAUGGCUGUCGAUCAUUUCGUGUCGUGAGAUGUUGGGUUAAGUCCCUGGCUUGAGCGCAACCCUUGUCAUUAGUUGCUGAGGCACUCUAAUGGGGCCUGCCGGUGACAAACCGGAGGAAGGUGGGGAUGACGUCAAGUCCUCAUGGCCCUUAUGGGUGGUAGGGCUUCACACGUCAUCUGACGGUCGGGACAGAGGGUCGCCAACCCGCGAGGGGAGCCAAUCCCAGAAACCCGAUCGUAGUCCGGAUCACCAGUCUGCAACUCGACUGCGUGAGUGGAAUCCGCUAGUAAUCGCGGAUCAGCAUGUCGCGGUGAAUACGUUCCCAGGUCUUGUACACACCGCCCGUCACACCAUGGGAGUGGGUUUUUUACCAAGUAAUAGUUAGCCUAACCGUAAGGAGGGCGAUUACCACGGUAGGAUUCAUGACUGGGGUGAAGUCGUAACAAAGGUAG
rnacentral:rRNA from 1 species